rnacentral:rRNA from 1 species
ACCAUGCAAGUCGAGCGGUUGAAGGGAGCUUGCUCCCUGAUUCAGCGGCGGACGGGUGAGUAAUGCCUAGGAAUCUGCCUGGUAGUGGGGGACAACGUUUCGAAAGGAACGCUAAUACCGCAUACGUCCUACGGGAGAAAGCAGGGGACCUUCGGGCCUUGCGCUAUCAGAUGAGCCUAGGUCGGAUUAGCUAGUUGGUGAGGUAAUGGCUCACCAAGGCGACGAUCCGUAACUGGUCUGAGAGGAUGAUCAGUCACACUGGAACUGAGACACGGUCCA